GUCCUGCAAAUAUGAGUGACCCAUAGAGCUUGUGUUUUUUCUUUACAGUUUUCCACUCAAAACAAUUGUCAGAAAUUCCUGGUUUCACGAACUGUUUUGCAAAUGACACACUUCUGUUGGUUUGUUUGCAGAUGUUUUCCUUGUUUUGUAAUAGGAGGCAAUUUCUGGGCUAUUGAUUAAUAACUGCAUUGUUAUCUAUACCCUAAAUUUCAGGAUAUUGGCUGUAAUUCUAUACACUGUUUAUUUGGGCUUAGUUCUAGAUAGGACAAAAUGUCCUGGUCAUAACUUCCUUAAUAACUUAAUGAACUUUUAUUUUGCAUCUUAAUGCAUAAAAAAAAACUCCAAGAGGCUGGGGAUGCUAGAAUUUUUGAAGUGCUGACAUUUUAUUUGAAAAACCCUUUUGUUUCACAGGUGGCAUUCCUUGAGCAUUUUCCUCAUUUGUAUAAAUGUGGCAUAAACUGCUCAGGUUCUAUAGUUACCUUCCUUGGCAGUUGUUCUGCUCUUUGGAGGGCCAGGUGGAUCAGCAGCCUUUCCUAGGAGCUCCAGCUUGCACUGUGCUCUCUCUGCACUAAUGCUGCAGCCACAGGAGAUUGUGGAAGGGUGGCAAAUUUUUCUAGGAAGACAUUGCCUGCCAGCUUGAAACAUGUAAAUUUCUGGAAUUUGCAUCAAAAUAUGACAGCUCUUCUCUGAUGAAGUGUGACAUGAAGAAUUCAUAAAGAGCCCUUGACAGAAGUUAUACAGCACCUCCAGAACAGAUACAUGAUCUCAGUGACUCCAGAGCUGAGAAUACAUACAGGAGACAGAUACACUUAUUUUCUUGACUGUACAACCAAAGUUAUGCAAUGAAUAGUAUGAUUUGAGUGCUAAGCAUUAUUCUGAUUUCAUUCUGAUUGCUUUGAGACACAGAUAUUAUCUGAUGUAUAAAAAAUAUUGAUUUGUUGAGUGUCUAGUAAAUGUUAAGAAAGCUUCCAAAAAUGCCAGCAUAACUAUAAGUGUAAUAAACUCUAGACUUUUUAGCCCUUGUACUGCUUUCCCAAAUAGCUUAGGGGAAGUCUAAAGUGUUAAGUCAAGCAGAAAGCUUUAGAAAACCAAAUAUCUAUAUCUAUAUCUAUAUCUAUAUCU